GUUAUGUUUACUUUUGUUUCUGAUGCCAGACAUAGGUUCAGAGGAUUGAAGAGGGAGAUCCAAGGAGCUAGCCUCUCAAGAGGAGUGAAUACCUAGUCACUGCAUUUCUCCAUUUGAACUGGCCACCUUUUAAGUGGUCAUUAGCCACAUGUGGCUACUAGCCAUGGGACUUGGACAGCAGAGGUGUGGAAAGUCCGCACAUUCUUCCAGUCAAAGGAUAUUCCCCUGCCUUUUUGAAGAUAAUGACCACUCAUCUGAGUAAUCAGUUCACAGAAUCCCUUUGCAGUGGCCCAUGAGGGCCAAGGUAGUAGA